AAAUCUAUUUUAUCUAAGAAAUCAAAGUAACUGGAAAAACAUAUCAUUUUGUGCAUAUUAUAAUACAUGAAAUAUUCAAUAAUUGUGUACUUCUACAACCAACCAUGAUGCAGUAGAUUGUGCAUGACAAAUUAUUUGGCCAAGAACAAACAGAAAAUAUUGGACAACACACACACACAAAAUAUCUAUUUGAAGUCACUGGAGAGCUGAUGAGGCAACCCAUACUUAAGCAAGCAAGAUCUAGGAAGAAAAAGAAUAGCAUAGAAGUUAACUGAUAUUCUGCAAGUUGUUUUUCCACAAAUACCCAUAGUUGAUUCAUUUGAGAUGAUCAGAUGCUGACUUUAGAAUAAUGGUGAUUAAUAAGUCUGAUAAAUAGACAAAAAAGUGAAGAAUUUUAUUAGAAAACUACAAUUUAUUUUUUUUAAAU
rnacentral:lncRNA from 1 species